UACGUAGGGCGCAAGCGUUGUCCGGAAUUAUUGGGCGUAAAGAGCUCGUAGGCGGUCUGUCGCGUCGGAUGUGAAAGCCCGGGGCUUAACCCCGGGUCUGCAUUCGAUACGGGCAGACUAGAGUGUGGUAGGGGAGAUCGGAAUUCCUGGUGUAGCGGUGAAAUGCGCAGAUAUCAGGAGGAACACCGGUGGCGAAGGCGGAUCUCUAGGCCAUUACUGACGCUGAGGAGCGAAAGCGUGGGGAGCGAACAGG
rnacentral:rRNA from 1 species